CUGUACGCACGCGCGAUGCGUCUCGCCGCCGCCGCCGCCGUCCUCCGCCCCGUGCUCUGCCUCCUCCCCUUUAGUCGCCCACCCGCCACGCCGCCUUCUCCUCUACCGUUCCUCUCCCUUCGCCGUGCUCGGGAGGAGAGCGACAGGCGGACUGGUGCAUCCCCAACGACGGGAGAAGCACAGGAACCGCCGCCUCCGGCGAGGCGCUCCUGCGCGACCAGUUCAAGACGAUCCUGCAGAAGGUCGACGAGAAGGGCGCGCCGCCACCGUCAGCAGGCCGGUCAGCAUCCACGCGCUACUCGGCGUCGUGAGGUCGCCGGCACAGCUCCUCGCGCCCACGCCGUUCAAACAUGCCACGACCUGCCCUUCUCCGGUGCACUUGGCAGCCGCAGAUGCUCCACCUCCUCCGCCUCAGCCCUCAACUCGUCGGGUGGCCUGAGGGGAGCGAUGCCUAGGCCGUUCUCUUCCUCACCACGCGGCGCCGGGAGGAUCCACAAGAGGGGGAGCGGCAACAAAUCGCGACGGAGGAGCAUGGGCUGCAAAUUCGUAUGAAGAUGGCGAACCGUUUGUGUUGCCAGGAGAUGGAUGCCGUCUCACCCUCCAUGGCGCUCAAUAGGAGGAGCAGGAGGUGUCAUCGGACAGAUUUGUGAGUUUGGUGCUAGACAUGGGACGUGCUUGGUCGUGUCCUUUCUUCGACUAGGCACCUUGGCGACCACUUGAGCAGCAGUGCAGCACCGUGCUCCAGUGAUCAGACUCCCCUUACAUGAUUCAUAUUUUUCUAUCAGCUUUUACUAUAUAUGUUCUUCAGUGGAUCAGCUGCAUCAGACUGUAGGCACUGCUGAGCGCAAAGCUGUACAUACCUGUGCAUAAAUGUUUUUGUCCGUGCAACCACGAAACAAAAAAGUCAAUCUUGAUUGUUUUUAAUUAGUAUUAUAUAUGUAUCUAAAUUUUGUAAUAUUUUCGUCACUUUUCGCUGGUUGGUGAUACACUUUGUUCAUGUUACCGGUGGAAAUAGGAAUGGUUUUCUUACUGUAUUGACAGAGCAAAGAAUUUUGCCUGUGAAUCUCAUAUUGUUGGAAGGGUCCUACAAGUGAUGAAUUGUCUAUUUGCCAGUUGCCACAUUGAUGCCCCAGGUAUGUCCCAAGUGAACUGGGUUAUUGCGACGAUUUGGUCGAUUCAGUCUUCUUUUUAUCUUGAAUGGCUUUCACCUUUGGGAAAUUCAAGUGAUGGAAGUGUUUCAGUGAUAUUGAAGCUCUUUUAGAUACUACUACGAUACUAUGGCAGCCAAGGUGUUCUUCGGCUGAAAUUAGGUUGCUCCUGCCAUGUCUAUCAGUGAAAUGCCUCCUUCCAUGAUAAAGCAGCCUACUCUUAGCAUUAUGCAGAACAAUUAUUAUGCGUCCAUCAAUGAUAACAGUGAUACCUGAUUGAAGAUUAGGUGGUCUACAAUCCUCCAGCUCUCCAAAACUAUAUCUCAAGCCCAUCAACUCCGAAAAUUAAAGGUCGCCACCAUGCCGUCUCUCUCUCUGGCCGCCCUUCACAUCGUCUUGGUUUGCUGGUUGCCACUAUGUCUCCUGCCGUUUCGCCCGCCGCCAUCGCUGGAAGGGUUGUGUAGGCCGUCGCCUAUGCCACUACUAUGCAGUGACCAGUGAGGGCCAUGGCAUCGAGACAGACCAAAAGGGAAACACCACCGGCCACAGCGCCGGUAGAGGCCUCCCUGUCUGCGCCGGUGACUGGAUAACAUCGCCGCCGCCACUGUCGUUGUCUUUGUUGCUUCUCAGCAGGCAUUUGAUUAACUCAAAGGCAACAGGAAGGCACGACGGUGAUCAAGGUUAUGUACGCCGAGUAGUGUCUUUUGUCUACCAUACCGUAUGAAAAUAGAUCAAGAUGAGCCAACUUAGUCACGUACUAUGUUUCUAUAAGGGGAACAUAUCUGGUCUAUAUCCGAAUCUAUGAACUAUUAUAUGGAUGAUGUCGAGUUAUGUCUAUAUAGUCAUAUGCUUAUAUAAGCUCAAUGUAUCCUUUGUACUGUUCUUCUUUGACUUGGCACUUCUGUUCAUUUUCAGAUAAAUUUUCAUGUGACUACCAAUGUCAUAAACCAGAAUUCUCUUUCUGAGGAUGCUUAUGUAUGAACUGUAUCAUACUCCCUCCGUUCCUAAAU
rnacentral:rRNA from 1 species